AAAUUGAAGAGUUUGAUCAUGGCUCAGAUUGAACGCUGGCGGCAGGCCUAACACAUGCAAGUCGAGCGGAAACGAGUUAUCUGAACCUUCGGGGAACGAUAACGGCGUCGAGCGGCGGACGGGUGAGUAAUGCCUAGGAAAUUGCCCUGAUGUGGGGGAUAACCAUUGGAAACGAUGGCUAAUACCGCAUGAUGCCUACGGGCCAAAGAGGGGGACCUUCGGGCCUCUCGCGUCAGGAUAUGCCUAGGUGGGAUUAGCUAGUUGGUGAGGUAAGGGCUCACCAAGGCGACGAUCCCUAGCUGGUCUGAGAGGAUGAUCAGCCACACUGGAACUGAGACACGGUCCAGACUCCUACGGGAGGCAGCAGUGGGGAAUAUUGCACAAUGGGCGCAAGCCUGAUGCAGCCAUGCCGCGUGUGUGAAGAAGGCCUUCGGGUUGUAAAGCACUUUCAGUCGUGAGGAAGGCGGUGUAGUUAAUAGCUGCAUCGUUUGACGUUAGCGACAGAAGAAGCACCGGCUAACUCCGUGCCAGCAGCCGCGGUAAUACGGAGGGUGCGAGCGUUAAUCGGAAUUACUGGGCGUAAAGCGCAUGCAGGUGGUUUGUUAAGUCAGAUGUGAAAGCCCGGGGCUCAACCUCGGAAUUGCAUUUGAAACUGGCAGACUAGAGUACUGUAGAGGGGGUAGAAUUUCAGGUGUAGCGGUGAAAUGCGUAGAGAUCUGAAGGAAUACCGGUGGCGAAGGCGGCCCCCUGGACAGAUACUGACACUCAGAUGCGAAAGCGUGGGGAGCAAACAGGAUUAGAUACCCUGGUAGUCCACGCCGUAAACGAUGUCUACUUGGAGGUUGUGGCCUUGAGCCGUGGCUUUCGGAGCUAACGCGUUAAGUAGACCGCCUGGGGAGUACGGUCGCAAGAUUAAAACUCAAAUGAAUUGACGGGGGCCCGCACAAGCGGUGGAGCAUGUGGUUUAAUUCGAUGCAACGCGAAGAACCUUACCUACUCUUGACAUCCAGAGAACUUUCCAGAGAUGGAUUGGUGCCUUCGGGAACUCUGAGACAGGUGCUGCAUGGCUGUCGUCAGCUCGUGUUGUGAAAUGUUGGGUUAAGUCCCGCAACGAGCGCAACCCUUAUCCUUGUUUGCCAGCGAGUAAUGUCGGGAACUCCAGGGAGACUGCCGGUGAUAAACCGGAGGAAGGUGGGGACGACGUCAAGUCAUCAUGGCCCUUACGAGUAGGGCUACACACGUGCUACAAUGGCGCAUACAGAGGGCAGCCAACUUGCGAAAGUGAGCGAAUCCCAAAAAGUGCGUCGUAGUCCGGAUUGGAGUCUGCAACUCGACUCCAUGAAGUCGGAAUCGCUAGUAAUCGUGGAUCAGAAUGCCACGGUGAAUACGUUCCCGGGCCUUGUACACACCGCCCGUCACACCAUGGGAGUGGGCUGCAAAAGAAGUAGGUAGUUUAACCUUCGGGGGGACGCUUACCACUUUGUGGUUCAUGACUGGGGUGAAGUCGUAACAAGGUAGCGCUAGGGGAACCUGGCGCUGGAUCACCUCCUUA
rnacentral:rRNA from 1 species